rnacentral:lncRNA from 1 species
UUGUAAGAGAAUUUGUUUGAAAUGGUUUUUCCAGAUGUAAACUUCUUUUGACACUGUGGGUACUUACAUUUACAAAAUGCUUCAUAUAACAGAAAUAAAGCGUUACUUUCUUGGCAAAUAACUAUACGAAAUUAUACAAUCAAAUUAAAGACAUAGAAAUAUUUUACUGCAGCAAAAUCAGAAACAGUAGUUUGGUAAACUGUCAUACUUCUUACAAAAGGGAUAUCUUUGUUAGUAUUUAAACAAUUUAAUUUAUUAGCAGCUUGUAAUUUUAGAUGGGUGGAUGAAGAAAGAAUUGCAUAUUAAAGUGUUUUUAAUAUUAUAUAUGUUGAUAUGAAUUGGACAGCUAGGAAAAUUGGACAUUAUGUGGUAUUUAAUAAAGGCUUCAGUAGUUUACCACUGUUCAAUAGUCCUAACUCGAUUAAGCAAAAGGAAAUUCGGGAAACAAUC